UAAUAACUGAUAUUUUAAAAAAUUAUUAUCUAUAUUAUAUAUAUAUAUAUAUAUAUUUGAUAGUUUAGUAUACUGCUAGUUUAGUAAGCUAGUACACUUAAAUGCGCCGCAAAAUUUUAUAUAAAAUCUGAGAAUUUUAUAUAUGAAAAAUGGUUUUUGCCAUAACUAGAGCUUGUUGUUUAUUUUUCCGUACUAACAUAGGAUUUAAAAGUAAUUAUAAAAAUUAUAAACUCUUAAAAAUCUGUUCAGUAAAUUUCUCCAUAAAAACUGAUAUCUCUCCUCUAGAAGAAGAGAUCCCAAAAUUAAUACCUCCAGUUGGAGAUGGAAAAAUAUUUGAAACUGUAGAAGAUGCUAUAUCGGAUAUGCCAGAUGGUGCUAAACUUCUAAUUGGUGGAUUUGGACUUUGUGGAAUUCCUGAAAAUUUAAUUUCAGCUGUGUUAAAACGAGGUUCUAAAGAUUUAACUGUUAUUUCAAAUAAUGCAGGAAUUGAAGAUUUUGGAUUAGGUAUACUACUAAAAGAAUGUAGAAUUAAAAGAAUGAUUUCUUCUUAUGUUGGUGAUAAUCCUGAAUUUGAAAAGCAAUAUCUUACUGGUAAAUUAGAAGUUGAAUUAACUCCACAAGGUACACUAGCAGAACGUAUUCGAGCAGGAGGAGCUGGAAUUCCAGCUUUUUAUACUCCUACAGCAUAUGGAACAAUAGUACAAGAGGGUAAUGUUAUUAUAAAGUAUGAUGAAAAUGGAAAUGCAGAAAUAUCUGGAGAACCAAAAAAUAUAGCACAGUUCAAUGGCAGAAAUUAUGUCUUAGAAACUGCUAUUACUGGAGAUUUUGCUCUUGUGAAAGCUUGGAAAGCAGACAAAGCUGGCAAUUUAAUCUUUAGAAAAUCAGCUAGAAAUUUUAAUCCAGUAAUGUGUAAAGCAGCUAAAAUUGCUAUUGCUGAAGUAGAAGAAAUUGUAGAAAUUGGACAAUUGGAUCCUGAUCAGAUUCAUUUGCCUGGAAUUUAUGUAGAUAGGAUUGUCAAAGGUCUUUCAUAUGAGAAACGCAUAGAGAAACGAUUCACGAAACAAAAUAUAAAACCUAAAAAAGUAACACCAGCAAGUAAAGCAAGGGACAGAAUUAUUAGACGAGCUGCAUUAGAAUUUAAAGAUGGAAUGUAUGCAAAUUUGGGAAUUGGUAUACCUAUGCUGGCUUGUAAUUAUAUUCCUAAGAAUGUAAAAAUAACUUUGCAAUCCGAAAAUGGUAUUCUUGGUGUGGGACCAUUUCCAAAUGAGUCAGAAGUUGAUCCAGAUUUAAUAAAUGCUGGAAAAGAAACAGUUACAAUUUUUCCAGGAGCUUCUUUUUUUAGCAGUGAUGAAAGCUUUGCAAUGAUUAGAGGAGGUCACAUUGAUUUAACAAUACUUGGUGCUAUGCAAGUGUCAGAGAAUGGAGAUCUGGCUAAUUGGAUGAUUCCAGGUACUAUGGUAAAGGGAAUGGGUGGAGCAAUGGAUUUGGUUUCUGCAGCAAGCACAAAAGUAAUAGUCACUAUGGAACAUAAAGCUAGAGAUGGGAGUCCAAAAAUUUUAAAAAAUUGUACUUUGCCUGUUACAGGUCAACAAUGUGUCGACCUAAUAAUUACAGACAUGGCAGUAUUUGAAGUGGUUCAAGGAGAAGGAUUGAGAUUAAUUGAAAUUGCACCUAAUAUUGAUAUUAGUGAUAUUGUUAGUUCUACUGGUUGUGAAUUUUCAGUAGUUGAUGAUCUUAAAGAAAUGAGACAAGUGAAUUUAGAUGACUGUCAAUAAAUAUACAUUCUUAUAUUCUUUUAAAUAUAAAAAAUAAAUAUCAAAAAUUUAUUUUUAAGAAAGGGAAAUAUUGAUAUCGGGAAAGUAAUAAUUAAACUAUUAUCUUUAAAUUAUAAAAUUACAGAAUUAUCUUUUAUCUCUAAGAACUGUAAAGUUUUAAAAAUUGUAAAUUUAAUAUAAAUACUUUAUUUUAUGCAAUACAUAUAAUAGUUAGGAUUUAAUAAAGCAUUUUAAAAUUUUCAAAAAUUACUCUCUGAAUUUGGCUUUUAUUCUUGCUGGAAGUGGUAAUAAAUACAAAACACUAUUUAAUAUACUUAAUCCAACAGCAAAAGCCAAUGAAAUUAAUAAAUUUAAGUCAACAUUUAAUACUUCUGAAAUAUUUUCACCUUCACGUGUAAAACGUUCUAUUAAAUAAGAUCUUCCAUCUGGAUAUCUACAUAGUUCUGGUAUUCCUGGGCAUGUAAAACUCUCAUUAUAAUGUAAAUUUAAAAAUAUGGGCAUAUCAAUUGCUAAUUGAUUUAGAGCCAAUGAUGCAUAUCUAGCAGGUAAUGUGGUGGAAAUUGCAGCAAGCCAAUAAGGCAAGCCUUUCAGACUUCUGAUGGUGCCUGAUGAAACUAUCAAAGAUACUAAUGUCAUGUAUAAAACUAUUAUUCCACCUGUAAAAGGUUUGCCAAUAAUCAUAAGCACAGCUACAGUUAUUUGUUCUGCUGCUACAUAGCUAGCCCAUAAAACACCACAGGCAUAAGCCCAAGUGGAUAAAUCUAGCUCUAAAAUAGGUACGAGAAUACCAAUAGUAAUCAUAGUGGAUACAAAACUCAAUGGCAAACUCAAUAAUGCAUAUGCAGUUAAGAACAUAGCUCCACCAUAUAGACCUUCUCUUUUUUCUUGAUAAUAUCUGGCUCGAUAUCCUGGAACUUUAUAAACAAAAUAAAUUUUAUAAUAUUAAAUAAUCUCUUGAAUUGAAUAAAAAAAAAGAUUAAUUAACACUUACAGAGAAGAGUUGUGCAUGCUAUUCCAACAACAUAGAACAAUGUUACUACAUUAAAAACUAAACCACCUGUUUGUAGAAAUAUUCUGGAUUGUACAGGAGUCGAAUGUGAAUAUAAAAUGCUCAUUAAGGCUAUAGAGAAUGGUAGCAAUAAUAAUCUAGCAGCAAAAUGCCCCAAACCACAUUUAUUGAAAGCAAAUGUUGCUGCCAUACCUCUCCUAAAAUAUGAAAAAAAAUAUUAAUACUAAUUAUUUUAGAAAAAGUAUUUACUAUAAUAUUACAUUUAUAAAAACAUACAAAUAAAGAGCAAAUAGAGUAGAGAAA